rnacentral:rRNA from 1 species
ACGUAGGGGGCAAGCGUUAUCCGGAUUUACUGGGUGUAAAGGGAGCGUAGACGGACUGGCAAGUCUGAUGUGAAAACCCGGGGCUCAACCCCGGGACUGCAUUGGAAACUGUCAGUCUAGAGUGUCGGAGGGGUAAGUGGAAUUCCUAGUGUAGCGGUGAAAUGCGUAGAUAUUAGGAGGAACACCAGUGGCGAAGGCGGCUUACUGGACGAUAACUGACGUUGAGGCUCGAAAGCGUGGGGAGCAAACAG